UUCUGAACACCCAAGGAUCAAAACCAGUUUUUCUGAAAAUGUGUUUCAAAGUGCUAGAAAUGGAUUUAUUUUUUGAUACUUACCUUCAGCCUCCUAAACUUUGAUCUUUUAGGUAAGAAUGUAAUCACUGAUUGUAAAACCUAUUAUGAAAUACAAAAACCAUUUCCUAUCGGCUUCUCCAAAAGAAAUAAAUGGUACAAUGAGAGUUAUGUAGACACUUGUCUGAACAAAACUAACCACCCACUUACUCCCUCAAGAGUAACUUAUUUUUGAAGUAAGUCUAGCGUAAACAUCUCUUCCAAAAAAAUGCAAAAUACUGAAAUGACUUAACACUUACCAUCCAGCCUUUUGCUAAUCUGUUCUUUUGCAGAUCUGUUUACCCAGCACUUCUUCAAUAUUUCAUUCUUUUCCUUAUUUUCUCCGUUGUUAGAUCCAUUUUCCUUCAUUGUUUCAGAGUUCAUUUGCUCGCUAGCAGGAUUUUCGGGGUUUUCUGACGACGUCUGUGUGUCCUGAAGCUUCUCCUCUGAGCAGGUCCCUUUAGUUUCGGAGGCAAGCUCACAGUUUUCUACCUUACAUUCAGCUUUACAUAGGCAAGCAGCUUUCAUCUUACUUGAUGCUUAAUCAAGUUCCCUCACUGAAUCGAGCCGAAUGUGUUCCUUAGCUUCUCAGCUCCUAACUGAGAAUUUCACUUUUGAUUCAAAUUUUUGGAAGAAAAUACUACCAGAGAUAGUCACUUACUUGGAAUCAAUGCUACUGGUCUUACUUUCAGCGAAGACCCAAUGACAAUGAGGAGAUCAACUUCAUUUUUGUCGUACUUCAUGGCCCGGUGGAACUGCUCGGAGCAGAAUCCUCAUUUGCUGACAGAAGUGGAUGAGAGUUAUGUUUGUGGAGAAUAGACUCCCUUUCCUCCUGAAAGCAGAGGGUUUUCUGAUCUUUGGGACCUCUUUCAACUCUUUCUUAUCUUAAGACUUUUUCAGAGAGAAGAGAAGCAAGAAGAACUGUUGGAAAACCAUACCUUUGCGAACUUAAAGAAGGGUCUGGGAUCCUUUCUGAAGUAUUCUAUAUCAAACAUUGCUUGAGGAUCUGGAAGGUCUGGGAAGUCUACGGCAAGGCGUGCAUAGAUGCCAUCUCUGGAUCUAAAGUCAGACUACCUCAAAAUACCAUGGGAAGAGGAGGAGAAACAGGUGUAUGAAAGUACAGAGAGCAAGACAGCAAGACUGGGUAACAAGAACAGCAGUGCUCUUUGAAAAACUGAUCUGAAUCGUGUCAUACCAUGUGUGUGUGAACAACAGAAGCAAAAAAUGAUCUGGUACACAGAUCAAAUUGUUUGCAUUCUGGGGAGAAUUAAGUAACUGUUCAGAGGCAGAGAGCAUCUAAGAACAUCAUACAGGCAUCUACCUAUACGUGGUCUUGGGGUCCAGUCACUAGAACUUGCGUGCGAGGCUCUGUCGUCUUCGUCGCUGUCGCAGGAGUGAAAGCCGUUGGCUAUGAUUUCAUCGCUGAGGAGGAAGUUAUCUGCAAGACAGCACAGCCAGGAGGGUUACACCCCACCAAAGGGCACAGGUAUAUCACUAAACACAGCACAGGAAUUCGAACUGGAUGCCCUUAAAUGUGGUUGCAAUGAGCACUGUCGCUGCUCAGGCACUGAAAAUGCUUUUCAAGCCACAGCAGGAUUUGCCGUCUUAACGCUGGGCUAAGGUGGGCUGGGUGCUGACCUUGGUGAAACUUCAUUCUGUAAAGUGUUGGGCAUUAUGGAUAUUGCAUCUUAGAAAAAAUCCAAAUGUUUCAAAAGUAUAAUUAAAAAUCCUUUUCUCUUACAAUUCUCACUGC